UACGUAGGGGGCUAGCGUUGUCCGGAUUUAUUGGGCGUAAAGAGCGUGUAGGCGGCCAGGUAGGUCUGGUGUGAAAACUCGAGGCUUAACCUCGAGAUGUCAUCGGAAACCAUCUGGCUAGAGUCCGGAAGAGGAGAGUGGAAUUCCUGGUGUAGCGGUGAAAUGCGUAGAGAUCAUGAGGAAGACCAGUGGCGAAGGCGGGUCUCUGGACAGUUCCUGACACUGAGACACGAAGGCCAGGGGAGCAAACGGG
rnacentral:rRNA from 1 species